UAUGGAGGAGGCAAGCGUUAUCCGGAAUUAUUGGGCGUAAAGCGUCCGCAGGUGGCGAUUCAAGUCUGCGGUCAAAGACUGGGGCUUAACCCUGGAAAGGCCGUGGAAACUGAAUAGCUAGAGUGCAGUAGGGGUAGAGGGAAUUCCCGGUGUAGCGGUGAAAUGCGUAGAGCUCGGGAAGAACAUCGGUGGCGAAAGCGCUCUGCUGGACUGCAACUGACACUCAGGGACGAAAGCUAGGGGAGCGAAUGGG
rnacentral:rRNA from 1 species